rnacentral:rRNA from 1 species
AACGAACGCUGGCGGCGUGCCUAACACAUUCAAGUCGAACGGAGAUAAGAAGCUUGCUUCUUAUUUUAGUGGCGCACGGGUGAGUAACGCGUGGAUAAUCUACCUGAUGCUCUGGGAUAACAUCUCGAAAGGGGUGCUAAUACCGGAUAAGCCCACGAUCUCUUCGGAGAAUGCGGGAAAAGGAGGGGACCUUCGGGCCUUCCGACGUCAGAUGAGUCCGCGUCCCAUUAGCUAGUUGGCGGGGUAAUGGCCCACCAAGGCUACGAUGGGUAGCUUGUCUGAGAGUAUGAUCAGCCACACGGGAACUGAUACACGGUCCAGACUCCUACGGGAGGCAGCAGUGGGGAAUUUUGCGCAAUGGGGGAAACCCUGACGCAGCAACGCCGCGUGAGUGAUGAAGGCUUUUGGGUCGUAAAGCUCUGUCAGAAGGGAAGAAAUGUAGGUGGCUAAUAUCCAUUCUACUUGACGGUACCUUCAAAGGAAGCACCGGCUAACCCCGUGCCAGCAGCCGCGGUAAUAC